rnacentral:rRNA from 1 species
CGUCAUUGAUUUCUCCCUUCUGACGAGCCGUGAUGUCAUUCAUUUGGUGUUACGGGGAGUCAGGACUGUUACUUUGAAAAAAUUAGAGUGUUUAAAGCAGGCAAUCGCUCGAAUACAUUAGCAUGGAAUAAUGAAAUAGGACGUUCGAACCUAUUUUGUUGGUUUCUAGGAUCGACGUAAUGAUUAAUAGGGAUAGUUGGGGGCAUUAGUAUUCAAUUGUCAGAGGUGAAAUUCUUGGAUUUAUUGAAGACUAACUACUGCGAAAGCAUUUGCCAAGGAUGUUUUCAUUAAUCAAGAACGAAAGUUAGGGGAUCGAAGACGAUCAGAUACCGUCGUAGUCUUAACCAUAAACUAUGCCGACUAGGGAUCGGAUGAUGUUAAUUUUUUAAUGACUCAUUCGGCGCCUUACG